rnacentral:rRNA from 1 species
UACACAUGCAAGUCGAGCGGGGUUUUCGGACCUAGCGGCGGACGGGUGAGUAAUGCGUAGGAAGCUACCCGAUAGAGGGGGAUACCAGUUGGAAACGACUGUUAAUACCGCAUAAUGUCUACGGACCAAAGUGUGGGACCUUCGGGCCACAUGCUAUCGGAUGCGCCUACGUGGGAUUAGCUAGUUGGUGAGGUAAUGGCUCACCAAGGCGACGAUCUCUAGCUGGUUUGAGAGGAUGAUCAGCCACACUGGAACUGAGACACGGUCCAGACUCCUACGGGAGGCAGCAGUGGGGAAUAUUGGACAAUGGGCGCAAGCCUGAUCCAGCCAUGCCGCGUGUGUGAAGAAGGCCUUCGGGUUGUAAAGCACUUUCAGCGAGGAGGAAGAGUUGUGUGUUAAUAGUACACAGCUUUGACGUUACUCGCAGAAGAAGCACCGGCUAACUCUGUGCCAGCAGCCGCGGUAAUACAGAGGGUGCAAGCGUUAAUCGGAAUUACUGGGCGUAAAGCGCACGUAGGCGGUUUUUUAAGUCAGAUGUGAAAGCCCCGGGCUCAACCUGGGAAUUGCAUUUGAAACUGGAAAGCUAGAGUGUGUGAGAGGGGGGUAGAAUUCCAAGUGUAGCGGUGAAAUGCGUAGAGAUUUGGAGGAAUACCAGUGGCGAAGGCGGCCCCCUGGCACAACACUGACGCUCAGGUGCGAAAGCGUGGGGAGCAAACAGGAUUAGAUACCCUGGUAGUCCACGCCGUAAACGAUGUCUACUAGCUGUUCGUGGUCUUGUACUGUGAGUAGCGCAGCUAACGCACUAAGUAGACCGCCUGGGGAGUACGGUCGCAAGAUUAAAACUCAAAUGAAUUGACGGGGGCCCGCACAAGCGGUGGAGCAUGUGGUUUAAUUCGACGCAACGCGAAGAACCUUACCUACUCUUGACAUCUAGCGAAGAUUGUAGAGAUACGAUUGUGCCU